rnacentral:tRNA from 1 species
GUAAAUAUAGCUUAAACAAAGCAUUAGAUUGUGAAUCUAAAGAUAGAGAAUAAUCUUCUCUUAUUCACC